rnacentral:rRNA from 1 species
UACGUAGGGGGCUAGCGUUGUUCGGAAUUACUGGGCGUAAAGGGCGCGUAGGCGGCACUGUAAGUCAGGAGUGAAAGCCCGGGGCUCAACCCCGGAAUGUCUUUUGAAACUGCCGAGCUAGAGUGCGGAAGAGGCAACUGGAAUUCCCAGUGUAGCGGUGAAAUGCGUAGAUAUUGGGAAGAACACCUGAGGCGAAGGCGGGUUGCUGGGCCGACACUGACGCUGAGGCGCGAAAGCCAGGGGAGCGAACGGG